GUGUCAGCAGCCGCGGUAAUACGGAGGAUCCAAGCGUUAUCCGGAAUCAUUGGGUUUAAAGGGUCCGUAGGUGGUUUAAUAAGUCAGUGGUGAAAGCCCAUCGCUCAACGGUGGAACGGCCAUUGAUACUGUUAAGCUUGAAUUAUUAGGAAGUAACUAGAAUAUGUAGUGUAGCGGUGAAAUGCUUAGAGAUUACAUGGAAUACCAAUUGCGAAGGCAGGUUACUACUAAUGGAUUGACGCUGAUGGACGAAAGCGUGGGUAGCGAACAGGAUUAGAUACCCCGGUAGUCC
rnacentral:rRNA from 1 species